rnacentral:lncRNA from 1 species
UAGUAUCGCGAGAUCAGGAAGGUGGCCGAGUGUGUCGCCGCGGCCAUCAGGGGGGUUAUAGCCAUGUGACUGAUCUUCGUCCAAGAAUAUGUAAAGAAAAAGUGUUGAGUUGGCUUUUAGGGCUAGAGCAAUGUAUCUUAGGCUCACUUAAGGAAGCUGUAGAGAUGAGCCCAAGGAGGGAAACCAGAAGAGCCCCCCAGGCUCACCAGUUGUUUGUUGGCUCCCUACAAACAUGUCAUUCAAGUGGCUAAUCUUACAACAGCACAAAUUCAUCUAACCAGAAAGAGAAGAGGAGGCUCCAAAGGCACUUGACUACUGAGCAUCACCCUGGACGUGUACAAGUCUGCGUCCUUAUUGUUUUCUUCAUUGGGCCGAACUUUCUGGUCCUCAUCCAACAGCUCUUCUAUCACGUGUUCGAAAGUGUCAGCCAAUGAUGUCAAGCCUCUUGAACCUGCCUUGGGCCCAUUCACGCUCUCCAGAGUCCCAUGGGUCCGCACACCUGGAGAUACUCUAUUAUAGCAAAGAAGAAAGAUAAUUUCAUUGAGCCAUCCUGUUUUACAGGAAAUUCUGCAAGUGGCAACGUGGGUCCAUUCCGUGUGUGUCACUAGAGCUGGCGCAAGCCCAUGGCCAUGGUGAGGCAGCGUUUCCACUGGAACUAAUCUGAUACCUGCACCAGCUCUUGCAACUGUGCAGUGUUCCCACUGCAAACUACGGAUGGGGUAAAAGACUGCUCACCUCCUAUUUCUCAUCUAAUCUCACACACUCUGUUUGAUGAGGCUAUGGAGAAACAGGUCUUCUCAUACACUAAAGGUGGGAGUACAAACAAUUCAAGCCCUGUGCAGGACAAUUAGGCAAUACCUAUCAAAAUUAUACAUGAUUUUUCCUGCUGACCCAGCAAUUCCACUUCUGGGAAUAAUUGACAGAUAUAGGUGCAUAUGUACAAAAUGAUGGAAAGCUCUCUGGUAUAUAUUAGUAAGUGAUAAAACAAGGUGUAAAAUAGUGUAUAUAUGGCUACUACCUUUUGUUUUAAAAAUGGGGGAAAAUGGUGGAGCUUGCGGUGAGCCGAGAUCGUGCCACUGCACUCCAGCCUGGGCGACAGAGCGAGACUCCGUCUCAAAAAAAAAACAGGGUGGGGUGGGGGGGAAAUAAUAGUACAUACUCAUAUUUACCUGUAUCUAUAUAAAACACACUAUCAAGGAUUCACAAGAAACUAAUACAAAUGAUCACCUUAUAGAUGGUAUGUAUUGGGGGAUACUGAGGUGAGCAGGGUAUAAGUGGGGCAAGACUUUUCAGUGUAAACUUCUUUUAAAUUUUAUUUUGAUUUUUGAAUAAUGUAAAUUAACUGUCAAAUAAUUAAAUUAAAAAUAACCAAUUUAUUAACAAAA